rnacentral:rRNA from 1 species
UACGAAGGGUGCAAGCGUUAAUCGGAAUUACUGGGCGUAAAGGGUGCGUAGGCGGUUCGUUAAGUCUGUCGUGAAAUCCCCGGGCUCAACCUGGGAAUGGCGAUGGAUACUGGCGAGCUAGAGUGUGUCAGAGGAUGGUGGAAUUCCCGGUGUAGCGGUGAAAUGCGUAGAGAUCGGGAGGAACAUCAGUGGCGAAGGCGGCCAUCUGGGCAGAGACUGACGCUGAGGCGCGACAGCGUGGGGAGCAAACAGG